rnacentral:tRNA from 1 species
GGGGUGGUGGCGCAGUUGGCUAGCGCGUAGGUCUCAUAAUCCUGAGGUCGAGAGUUCGAACCUCUCUCACCCCA